AGAACUAUAGGUCAAAGCCUCCUCAUAUCUGAUGCUGAUAUAUUUAGCUUUAGAAUUAUGGAUUUAGAUGUCUUCCUGAUUCCCCUCCUCUUUCAUUGCCCUACUUUUAGAGCUUCUCUUCUUUGUUUGUGCAGAUUUUGUUUCUCUAUGUCUUCCUGAUUCCCCCCUAUUUCAGUGCUCUACUUUUAGAGCUUCUCUUCUUUGUUUGUGCAGAUUUUGUUUCUCUAUGCCUACAAGACGAUCGCAGAAAAUCCAAGAAGAUUGACACGAGUGACCCCGGACCCGGAGGCUGUACCAAUCAUGUUUAUAGCACUACAAACUUGGAAUACGUCCAGUAUUUAUUAUCUUGGUAAUUCACUGCAUAUGAAGAAAGGACAACCGUUCAUGGGUAUGUAUGCCCUCAUCUAUUUCAGGCCACAUGAUACGACAUAUGCCUUUAGAAACAUUUGUUAAAUAUCCAUUGGGAUUACCAAUUUGGUCUUUAAUCCCAGAAUUGGAUAUUUUUAACAGUUUUGUUAUGGUCUUUUCCAUUGCAGACCCAUCCCAAGAGGUAUCGAUCUGCAGAAACUUACAUCUAGGUGUUUGUCCUGAACAUAUAUGCAUAGGAGGUGAUGGUUACAUUUAAGGUAGAGAGAUUCUUAGAGCUAUGCACUUGUUCACAAAAGCUGAGAAAAGUCAGGCGAUAUUCUCUAUCUUGUCACAGCUGUGAUGAUUUUGCUUAGGAAUUUUUUGUUAAUUGACAUACAUUUUUGUUAAUUCGUAGGCACUUUUGUAUGUCGUUCAUUAUGAUAAUUUUGCUUAGGAAGUUUGGAAUGAAAGUUCUGGCACUUUCAAUAUUCACUGUAUUCGUAAUCGGAAAGUAUUUAGUCUACACGUACUGUUCAUGUUCAUGGUGAUACUAUAUUGUAAAUAUUAGUGCUUAGUUCAUGUCCUUGAUGAACUUUUUUGAAUUUUUGCUCCUGGUGGUGGUCGAGCUCAUCUGGUGGUGGUUGUUGCCGCUCCUUCUCUCCACGGCGUAGACCUUGUCGUCAAGCUCAUCUUCUAUCCUAAGGUGUGUGUUGUCUUCCUCUUUGUUGUAGUUACUUCCACAUUAUUAAGCUCAUCUUCUAUCCUAAGGUGUGUGUUGUCUUCCUCUCUGUUGUAGUUACUUCCACAUUAUUAUAUGAUCUAAGGCACACAUGAUAUAUUGAACGUCAUGAAGUCGGAUUUAUUUCCAUUUCUUCAGUUUGUGACACAAAGUUCCGUCCAGUAAUUGGAAAGAUUAUUUCUUGACUGUUGUUUUCUGGAGCUCAUUAUUUUAGUCCUUUUCUCUUAGAUUUUGACUAAUCUGGCUGCUCUGGUGCUCCACUUUCUUAUUUGCAGGUGAUGAUCUUUCUGCAAGUUGCUGCCUGGGUUUAUAGGUUGGUGAUUCUUCUAUCCCUUGAUCUUCUUCUGUGCAUGUGUCAUAUGUGCUUACAUCUAUGUUGGGUGCGGCUGCAGUCCCGUUCGUUUCUUUACAAGACACAGAUGACAGAAAUGCCGCAAUGGGACCAGGUCGUUACCUUUUUCCGUCUCUGUCCACAUGUAUCCAUACAAUUGUUUGUUCGUCGUUUGCCCACUUAUGUGUAUAUAUGCUUCUUUCUAACAAUGGUCGUUUGGAUGCAUAUGCCCAUAUUGCCAUUUUUUGUGAAGUAUGUAGUAUAACCACUGGUUAUUCCUUGUAAUAUCCAAAUGGUAUAAGAGAUUUUGUUAGUGCACCAUUAGCAUAUUCUUUGUUACUGGAUCACUUUAGAGUUUAGACCAAAUAUUGUGGACAAAAUGUUGCUUUGGUUUUUGUUCUAGAACACUUUGCAUAAUGUCUGAACUAAUAGGAGAUUUGUUUUACGAAAGAGUUCAAAUUAGGAUGAAGAGGUGUUCUUCCAUGGUGGCCAAAGGUGAGGCGCUUCUCCGGCCAGAUCCAUGGCCACCAUGUUGCCAUCGACGUCCACCGUCCUUGACAGAUCGAUCGAGUGUGCAUCACUGAGCUGCAUGGCUUCCGCCAUCACUGAGCUGCAUGGCUUCCCCAUCUCCCAGUUAUCAGAGGAUGUCAUGUAACCUUUAAGAAUACAUUCUCUAAGCGUGUAGAUUUUGCACAUCUAUAUCUUAAAGUUUUACAUACUUGCACGUACUAGUACUAAAUAUGCAUGUAUUUUGAGUGUGAUGGAAUAACACACCUUGGUACAAACAAGAAAUUGGUAAGGGCACUUCCUAACCUGGCACCGCCCCAACUUCGUCUCAGGCGGCGUCACCGGAUGGCGCCCCAACAACUAGUAUCGUAGAAAGCGAAAACUAACACGAAAUACCAAGCUCGAAAACUAACACGAAAUACCAAGCUCGAACAGACGACCCAGCGCCGGUACACUAGGUUGCCUAUCCACUCGCACGUGCAAGUUCUAAGGGCAUCUCCAGCCGCGUUCCCAGGAAAGCCUCCCUAGGCGAUUUUUUCGCGCCGGUGUAAAAAAACGGCCCAGUCGCGCCUUCAGGAGCCCGAUUUUCGCCGGCCUGGGCCGAAAAUAGCGUCGGCGGACCCAGGCCGAACCCGGCG
rnacentral:lncRNA from 1 species